rfam:Aspergillus glaucus CBS 516.65 unplaced genomic scaffold ASPGLscaffold_7, whole genome shotgun sequence.
GGCAAGAUGGCCGAGCGGUCUAAGGCGGUGGACUCAAGCGACAAGCUUGACCAGGUUUACCUGGCUACGAUAAAGUGCAAUAGCACCUUUAUUCCACUCUCGCAAGGGGCGUGGGUUCGAAUCCCACUCUUGUCA